CCGUUGCCGGCGACCGGCGCACGGGUGAGUAACACGUAUGCAACCUGCCCGUGGCAGGGGGAUAAGCGGGGGAAACCCCGUCUAAUACCGCGUAACGCGGCCUUGGGGCAUCCCAAGGCCGCCAAAGGGAGCAAUCCCGGCCACGGAUGGGCAUGCGGCGCAUUAGCUAGUCGGCGGGGUAACGGCCCACCGUGGCGACGAUGCGUAGGGGUUCUGAGAGGAAGGUCCCCCACACUGGUACUGAGACACGGACCAGACUCCUACGGAAGGCAGCAG
rnacentral:rRNA from 1 species